rnacentral:rRNA from 1 species
AUGGACAGCUCCGCAACACUGGAAAAUUCAACGUCCCGUCACACUGGAAACGGGCCCCCAAAAGAGGCAGGCCCCACACGGACGUGGGCCAAGAUAGCGGGCCCUGACAGGCGGGGCCCAAAUGGGGAAGAGACAGACGUGUUCGCCUUUUUAUCGCGAGACCUCGUCUCCUCCCCCUUUCGCAUCCUUUUCAUUCAAAACAGGCAGGGCAGGGAGAGGGGAGGAGGUGGAGGCGCCGAGCGAAGGAAAAAAAAAUCGAGUGCACUCGUCGGCGGCGCGGCGCGGCGCGGCGGCCGCCUCCUCUGCUCGUCCGAUCGAGCUCCGGUUCGUCGGGUGAGCGCGUCUCAGGUCGAUUCGGGAGCUGAAGGGAGCAUGAGUACUGCCAACGGCACACGACGUGCCUCAAGAAGGCAAUCACAAGAUGCUGAUAAGGUUGUCGUGAACUUGGUCUCAACCCCCCCAGCGGCGGGCAGCCGUCGUGGAGUAUCAACAUCUAACGCUGGCGCGCGCACCUCACCCAUUGACGUGGAAGCCCUCGAGGAUGAAGUGCAGGUCGUAUCAGCUUCACAAGUGCCUCCUCAGAGGAGGAACCGCAGAACUAGGAGGCAGCCUGUGACUGUAGUUGAUCUAGAUGUACAUGCUACCCGGCAAGGAGUGUCUCAUGAUGAUAAUGCAACAGUGCUUUCUCAUAACACAAGGAACAAACGCCCAAGAGUUUCCCCUGUAAUAAACAUCUCUCCUGAAACAGGAGAAGGGUCCAGCUUACAGUCAAAAAAUGCGGGGAAAACUAGCAAAGAGCCUCUGGAUGUGGCUCCAAAGGAACCCAUCUUCACCUGCCCGGUGUGUUGGAACAAGUUGGAUGAGCCCGCCACAACAAUGUGCGGCCACAUCUUCUGCACUAACUGCAUAAAGCAAGCCAUCCAGUUCCAGAAGAAAUGUCCUACCUGCCGGAAGCACCUGAAGAUGAACAAUUUCCAUCGCAUUUACCUUCCUAACACCUCCCGUUAA